rnacentral:lncRNA from 1 species
CCAGCGUCUUCACCUCCUCAUCGUGGGGGAGCUCCCCCUCCUCCCGGUUCAGGGGGGCGGCGAUUUGGGCCUCGCCGACCCAGGGGUCGACUGCACCCCCUCUUCACGGCCUUCAGGGGGGCCAGCACCACUAGCACCGCCUUCUGCUUUCGGCUGAAAAAAUAGCACAAGUCAGAAGAAAGAGAAAAACAAAAAAUCAACUGAAAGAUUAAGAAUCCUAUACGCACC